AGUGAACGCUGGCGGUAGGCCUAACACAUGCAAGUCGAACGGCAGCACAGUAAGAGCUUGCUCUUACGGGUGGCGAGUGGCGGACGGGUGAGGAAUACAUCGGAAUCUACUUUUUCGUGGGGGAUAACGUAGGGAAACUUACGCUAAUACCGCAUACGACCUACGGGUGAAAGCAGGGGAUCUUCGGACCUUGCGCGAUUGAAUGAGCCGAUGUCGGAUUAGCUAGUUGGCGGGGUAAAGGCCCACCAAGGCGACGAUCCGUAGCUGGUCUGAGAGGAUGAUCGGCCACACUGGAACUGAGACACGGUCCAGACUCCUACGGGAGGCAGCAGUGGGGAAUAUUGGGCAAUGGGCGGAAGCCUGAUCCAGCCAUACCGCGUGGGUGACGAAGGCCUUCGGGUUGUAAAGCCCUUUUGUUAGGAAAGAAAAGCAGCAGGUUAAUACCCCGCUGUUCUGACGGUACCCAAAAAAUAAGCACCGGCUAACUUCGUG
rnacentral:rRNA from 1 species